AUUGAACGCUGGCGGCAGGCCUAACACAUGCAAGUCGAACGAGUGGCGGACGGGGGAGUAAUGUCUGGGAAACUGCCCGAUGGAGGGGGAUAACUACUGGAAACGGUAGCUAAAACCGCAUACCAUCGGAUGUGCCCAGAUGGGAUUAGCUAGUAGGUGGGGUAACGGCUCACCUAGGCGACGAUCCCUAGCUGGUCUGAGAGGAUGACCAGCCACACUGGAACUGGGAAACGGUCCAGACUCUGACGAGAGGAAGCAGUUGGGAAUAUUGCACAAUGGGCGCAAGCCUGAUGCAGCCGUGCCGCAUGUAUGAAGAAGGCCGUCGGGUUGUAAAGUACUUUCAGCGAGGAGACGUUACUCGCAGAAGAGGCACCGGCUAACUCCGUGCCAGCAGCCGCGGUAAUUC
rnacentral:rRNA from 1 species